UACGUAGGGGGCAAGCGUUGUCCGGAUUUAUUGGGCGUAAAGAGCGUGUAGGCGGUCAGGUAGGUCGGUUGUGAAAACUGGAGGCUCAACCUUCAGAGGUCGACCGAAACCAUCUGGCUAGAGUCCGGGAGAGGGUAGUGGAAUUCCCGGUGUAGUGGUGAAAUGCGUAGAUAUCGGGAGGAACACCAGUGGCGAAGGCGACUACCUGGCCUGUUCUUGACGCUGAGGCGCGAAAGCUAGGGGAGCAAACGGG
rnacentral:rRNA from 1 species